rnacentral:rRNA from 1 species
GUGAACGCUGGCGGUAGGCCUAACACAUGCAAGUCGAACGGCAGCACAGUAAGAGCUUGCUCUUACGGGUGGCGAGUGGCGGACGGGUGAGGAAUACAUCGGAAUCUACUUUUUCGUGGGGGAUAACGUAGGGAAACUUACGCUAAUACCGCAUACGACCUACGGGUGAAAGCAGGGGAUCUUCGGACCUUGCGCGAUUGAAUGAGCCGAUGUCGGAUUAGCUAGUUGGCGGGGUAAAGGCCCCCCAAGGCGACGAUCCGUAGCUGGUCUGAGAGGAUGAUCAGCCACACUGGAACUGAGACACGGUCCAGACUCCUACGGGAGGCAGCAGUGGGGAAUAUUGGACAAUGGGCGCAAGCCUGAUCCAGCCAUACCGCGUGGGUGAAGAAGGCCUUCGGGUUGUAAAGCCCUUUUGUUGGGAAAGAAAAGCAGCAGGUUAAUACCCCGCUGUUCUGACGGUACCCAAAGAAUAAGCACCGGCUAACUUCGUG